rnacentral:rRNA from 1 species
GAUGAACGCUGGCGGCGUGCCUAAUACAUGCCAGUCGAGCGAACAGACGAGGAGCUUGCUCCUCUGACGUUAGCGGCGGACGGGUGAGUAACACGUGGAUAACCUACCUAUAAGACUGGGAUAACUUCGGGAAACCGGAGCUAAUACCGGAUAACAUGUUGAACCGCAUGGUUCAACAGUGAAAGACGGUCUUGCUGUCACUUAUAGAUGGAUCCGCGCCGCAUUAGCUAGUUGGUAAGGUAACGGCUUACAAAGGCAACGAUGCUUAGCCGACCUGAGAGGGUGAUGGGCCACACUGGAACUGAGACACGGUCCAGACUCCUACGGGAGGAAGCAGUAGGGAAUCUUCCGCAAUGGGCGAAAGCCUGACGGAGCAACGCCGCGUGAGUGAUGAAGGUCUUCGGAUCGUAAAACUCUGUUAUUAGGGAAGAACAAAUGUGUAAGUAACUAUGCACGUCUUGACGGUACCUAAUCAGAAAGCCACGGCUAACUACGUG